rnacentral:rRNA from 1 species
GACGAACGCUGGCGGCGUGCCUAAUACAUGCAAGUCGAACGCUUCUUUCCUCCCGAGUGCUUGCACUCAAUUGGAAAGAGGAGUGGCGGACGGGUGAGUAACACGUGGGUAACCUACCCAUCAGAGGGGGAUAACACUUGGAAACAGGUGCUAAUACCGCAUAACAGUUUAUGCCGCAUGGCAUAAGACUGAAAGGCGCUUUCGGGUGUCGAUGAUGGAUGGACCCGCGGUGCAUUAGCUAGUUGGUGAGGUAACGGCUCACCAAGGCCACGAUGCAUAGCCGACCUGAGAGGGUGAUCGGCCACACUGGGACUGAGACACGGCCCAGACUCCUACGGGAGGCAGCAGUAGGGAAUCUUCGGCAAUGGACGAAAGUCUGACCGAGCAACGCCGCGUGAGUGAAGAAGGUUUUCGGAUCGUAAAACUCUGUUGUUAGAGAAGAACAAGGACGUUAGUAACUGAACGUCCCCUGACGGUAUCUAACCAGAAAGCCACGGCUAACUACGUGCCAGCAGCCGCCGCGG